GAUGAACGCUAGCGGCAGGCCUAACACAUGCAAGUCGAGGGGUAGAAGUUGCUUGCAACUUUGAGACCGGCGCACGGGUGCGUAACGCGUAUGCAAUCUGCCUUGUACUGAGGGAUAGCCCAGAGAAAUUUGGAUUAAUACCUCAUAGCAUUAUGAAAUCGCAUGGUUUUAUAAUUAAAGUUCCAACGGUACAAGAUGAGCAUGCGUCCCAUUAGUUAGUUGGUAAGGUAACGGCUUACCAAGACGAUGAUGGGUAGGGGUCCUGAGAGGGGGAUCCCCCACACUGGUACUGAGACACGGACCAGACUCCUACGGGAGGCAGCAGUGAGGAAUAUUGGUCAAUGGGCGCAAGCCUGAACCAGCCAUGCCGCGUGCAGGAUGACGGUCCUAUGGAUUGUAAACUGCUUUUAUACGGGAAGAAACACUCCUACGUGUAGGAACUUGACGGUACCGUAAGAAUAAGGAUCGGCUAACUCCGUGCCAGCCGCCGCCGUAACAC
rnacentral:rRNA from 1 species